GUACCUUUCUCGGCCUUUUGGCUAAGAUAAAGAGUAAAAAAAAUCCUUUAAGACGAAAGGAAUGUGCAGUUUACAAGAGUUGAAACACAAAAUAAAUAGAUAGAGACAAAAGCAGUGGGUAUACCUUGUAGUUAGGAGUCGGUUUUAGGAUCCCACAUCCCAAAUAUCUGAUACGUGGAUCAAUGGUUCACAUGAUAUUAAAUUAAUUUUUUUAAGGGGUGGAUUCACCACAAUAGCUUGCUAUUAGGAUUCACACGUGUCAUCCUUGCGUUGCACUAUUGCAAGGUUUGGCGCACCCUAC
rnacentral:snRNA from 1 species